GAGGGUGCAGGUCAGGGAGGAAGCAGCAGGUCUCAGGUAGCAGGUCCAGGGAAGUCCGUCAGCAAACGGUCCGUAGAGAAGGAUCUGAAGGCAGGAAGCUCGUGUCGUGGUGAGAGAUCAUGAGAGAUCAGCCUCUGUGUUGCGGUGAGAGAUCAGCCUCCACGUAGAGAUCAGUCUCCACGUUGCGGUGAGAGAUCAGUCUCCACGUUGCGAUCAGUCUCUACGUUGCGGUGAAGGAUCAGAUGGCAGAGAACCCCUCAAGUCUGUCGUGGUGAGAGAUAAGCCUCUACCUUGCCGUGAGUUGUUGGACCCUCUUUUAUCCUCCAUUUUCUGCUGCCUACGUGACAUUCCUGGGUGCUUGAGCAAGAGUCCUGUGCAUACCUCCUGAGAUGGCCAUUUUCCUUGAGAUAAGUCCACACAAAAAGACCGCUUCCCGGCCAUUAGCAGCAGCUUAUCUCUCUCUCGAUGCCCCUGGCCUUGUCCAUCUGUGCUCCUUAGAGGAUUUCACAAUCCUUAGCCAGGACCUGUCCAUCAGUAUUUCUCUGCCUUUGCCCAGGACUUGCCUGGACUUGUUCCUCAGCAAACUUUGAGUCAAUGAUAUAAAAG
ensembl:lncRNA